AGUGCUGAAGGGAUGUAUAAAUAAAACUGUGUACUCAAAUGUACUGAAGAGGGACCUUUUUUAGAAAAGGACCGAAAUGCAUCUAUAGUAAUAGAAUAAAGUGAAAUCAUUGGCUAAAGCUGUGUGAUAGUCUACCGCCAAUAUUAAAAUUUACAUUUUAAGUGCGGAUUUGCAAAGACUUUACGAUAUAUAUAUAACAGCAGUCAUAAGAAAUUUAAUUAA